GGGGAAUUUUCCGCAAUGGGGGAAACCCUGACGGAGCAAUGCCGCGUGGAGGAUGACAGCCCAUGGGUCGUAAACUCCUUUUCUUAGAGAAGAAAUUUUGACGGUAUCUGAGGAAUAAGCAUCGGCUAACUCCGUGCCAGCGGCCGCGGUAAUACGGAGGAUGCAAGCGUUGUCCGGAAUCAUUGGGCGUAAAGGGUCCUGAGGUGGUUUGCUCAGUCCACUGUGAAAGUUCAGGGCUUACCCUUGAAAAUGCGGUGGAAACUAGUAGGCUAGAGUACGGUGGGGGCAGAGGGAAUUCCCGAUGUAGCGGUGAAAUGCAUAGAUAUCGGGAAGAACACCGACGGCGAAGGCACUCUGCUGGGCCGACACUGACACUGAAAGACGAAAGCCAGGGGAGCGAAUGGGAUUAGAUACCCCAGUAGUC
rnacentral:rRNA from 1 species